rnacentral:rRNA from 1 species
GGACUACUAGGGUUUCUAAUCCUGUUCGCUACCCAUGCUUUCGCUCCUCAGCGUCAGUUACAGCCCAGAGACCUGCCUUCGCCAUCGGUGUUCCUCCUGAUAUCUGCGCAUUUCACCGCUACACCAGGAAUUCCAGUCUCCCCUACUGCACUCUAGCCUGCCCGUACCCACCGCAGAUCCGGAGUUAAGCCCCGGACUUUCACGGCAGACGCGACAAACCGCCUACGAGCUCUUUACGCCCAAUAAUUCCGGAUAACGCUUGCGCCCUACGUAUUACCGCGGCUGCUGGCAC